UACUGAGUGCACCUUUAAAACAAGAAAAAACAGAAAAAAACAAGUUUAUUUUUGUUACUCUACUGGCAAAUAGUUUUGUUUUUUCUUUGAAGUACAUUUAAUAUUCGUACCCACUUGGCAUAUAUUAUUAUUAUUAUUAUUAUUAUUAUUCGUUUUUGCUGAAAAAAGUAAUAUCUUGAAAUUCUGCUUCUCAAGUUAAUGUAUCUUGUAUUAGGAAUGUUCAGAUAUUUUACUGGACAACAAGACAAAAAUACUUAGUAGGAAAAAAAAUAUUUUUAUUUUUGUAUUUUUUAUUUAUUUUUUUGCAUUGUAAAGCCUUCUGUAAAGAAGAGGCUUAUGUCUGAAAACUAGAGCCUCUACUAGGCCUGCCCAGGUGGUGCAGAGUGAUUAGAGUGGAGAGUAAACCCCACCCUUUCCCACCCACCCAUUCGGGCUCUGAAGAGAGCCUAGUCUGCAUGAUACACCUUCCAAACAGUGCACGGACAGAACAUGGGGUGACUGUUACUCUAAAUGUAUGAUCCAGUCAUUUCCUGGACUCAGAAAAUGCAGGUGGCUGCUGCACAUGUGAUCUGAAAUCAAAAGGCAAUUUUUUGGAGAAAUGUCCUCUGGUCUAAUGAAACAAAAAUUGAACUGUUUGGCCAUAAUGACCAUUGUUAUGUCUGGAGAAAAAAGGGUGAGGCUUGCAAGAUGAAGAACACCAUCCCAACCGUGAAGCAUGGGGGUGGCUUUGCUGCACUUCACAAAAUAGAUGGAAUCAUGAGGAAAGAAAAUUAUGUGAAUCUAUUGAAGCAACAUCUCAAGACAUCAGCCAGGAAGUUAAAGCUUUGUCGCAAAUGGGUCUUCCAAAUGGACAAUGACCCCAAGCAUACCUCCAAAGUUGUGGCAAAAUGGCUUAAGGACAACAAAGUCAAGGUACUGGAGUGACCAUCACAAAGCCCUGACCUCAAUCCGAUAGGUAGGACUGAAAAAGCGUGUGCGAGCAAGGAGGCCUACAAACCUGAUUCAGUUAUACCAGUUCUGUCUGGAGGAAUGGGCCAAAAUUCCAGUAACUUAUUUGAGAAGCUUGUGGAAGGCUACCCAAAACGUUUGACCCAAGUUAAACAAUUUAAAAGCAAUGCUACCAAAUACUAACAAAGUGUAUGUAAACUUCUGACCCACUGGGAAUGUGAUGAAAGAAAUAAAAGCUGAAAUCAUUCUCUCUACUAUUAUUCUGACAUUUCACAUUCAUAAAAUAAAGUAGCGAUCCUAACUGACCUAAGACAGGGAAUGUUUUCUACUAUUAAAGGUAAGGAAUUGUGAAAAACUGAGUUUAAAUGUAUUUGCCUAAGGCAUAUGUAAACUUCUGACUUCAACUGUAUAUGUUUGUUUUUUUUUCUUUCUUUUUUUUUUUUAUGUUUCGAAAUGUAUUUUGGACAUGACACGGGCCGAAUUUGAACCUGUGUCCCUGACCUGUGAGCAAAAUUAUGUGUUGUGAGGACUGCCCACUGGGCUGUUGUUCCAAUAAGAAUAUUGCCUUUUUACAAAUUACACAGUUUUUAAUAGAACUUUCACAGUUUAACAUUUCAAAAUAUGACAGCACACAAUGCUUCAAUAUGCAAUGGUUCUUGAGAAUUACGUCAAACCAACAGAAAUUAGGAAGCGGUUCAUUCUAUCUGGCUUUUGGUCAAUACCACAUGAUUCAGCACAGUGGGUUUUAUGUGUGUUUGUUAAGAUGCAGUAAAAGUCUACGUUUAGAGUUUUCACUGACCCUGUUAUUUAACCCUUUUGUAAAUGAAAAUGAGUGCUCAAAACUUAGUUAGAAUUUUAUUGAGUUUAUUGAGUAUGACUUUUUCUUCUGCAAAACACAAAGAGGAAUUUUAAAGGAUGUCCUGUUCACAGAUUUCCAUAAAAUAGCAGUUGAUAUUCAUUUUAAAGCUUAAAAAGGAUCCAGAAGUGUAAUAAAAGUAGUCCAUGUGACUUGAGCAUCAUAGUCCUUGAAGUCUAUUGAAGGCAUACCGUAGGUUAUUGUGAAAAACAACUCAAGUUAUUUACAAUUUAUUUAAAUUAAUUAUUUUUUUUUUUUUUAAUUAUUAUUCAUCUGUUUGUGUUCUGCAGAAGCGAGAACGUCAUAUGGGUUUGGAACAACAUGAGAGUAUAUGUAGGCGAGCCCGGAAAUUUAAUUCGCCAUGGGUUCCCUCUGGAUUUUCCUAUGGGUUUUUAUAAUGGGGUUAUUGAACUGAGUAAAAUAAGGUC